rnacentral:sRNA from 1 species
ACGGAAGGUCCCGGCAUGAGCGCCCGGCUUCCAAAGGUCGAGAUCCUCGCGGUAGAUCACGACCGCAAGCGGUA